UGGGCUGUGGCUCAGCGGUAGAGCGCGCACCUAGCAUGUGCAGGGCUCUGGGUUCGAUCCUCAGCACCGCAU
rnacentral:tRNA from 1 species